AUUCCCCGACCAAUAGAAUGCCAGCUUUAGUGUUGACCAAUGAAAUGAUCCCUGCCCCGUUGAGGGUGCGUUCGCUUCACGUUAGAACGUCUGUUGCGGACGCCUGCUCUGUAAAGGAGUUUAUUUACCCCCCCGCCGUCCAUUGCUUUAAUAUUAGUAUAUGUCGACAAUGUGCACGGGAUGGUUGACGCACUCCCCCCCACCCAUCAGGAAACGGGAGAAAGCUUUGAAGUGGAUAUGAAGUUAUGUCCACAACUACGAGGGUGGGCCUUAAGAACCCGUU